rnacentral:rRNA from 1 species
GACGAACCGUGCUAACGUUGUUCGGAAUCACUGGGCUUAAAGGGCGCGUAGGCGGGCCCGUCGGUCAGGGGUGAAAGCCCGCGGCUCAACCGCGGAAGUGCCCCUGAUACCGCGGGCCUCGAGGGGGGUAGGGGCGCGCGGAACUUCCGGUGGAGCGGUGAAAUGCGUAGAUAUCGGAAGGAACACCGGUGGCGAAAGCGGCGCGCUGGGCCCUUGCUGACGCUGAGGCGCGAAAGCCAGGGGAGCAAACGGGAUUAGAUACCCCGGUAGUCCUGGCCCUAAACGAUGGGUACUAGGUAGCGGGCUUACAUGGGCUCGCUGCCGAAGCAAAAGUGCUAAGUACCCCGCCUGGGGAGUAUGGUCGCAAGGCUGAA